UCCCUGGUGGCUUAGAGGGUAAAGCGUGUGCCUGCAAUGCAGGAGACCUGGGUUUGAUCCCUAGGUUGGGAA
rfam:Ovis aries breed Texel chromosome 1, whole genome shotgun sequence.